GAUGAACGCUAGCGGCAGGCCUAACACAUGCAAGUCGAGGGGUAGAAGGAGCUUGCUCCUUUGAGACCGGCGCACGGGUGCGUAACGCGUAUGCAAUCUACCUUGUACAGAGGAAUAGCCCAGAGAAAUUUGGAUUAAUGCCCCAUAGUAUAUAACCUUCGCAUGUUGGUUAUAUUAAAGUUCCAACGGUACAAGAUGAGCAUGCGUCCCAUUAGUUAGUUGGUAAGGUAACGGCUUACCAAGACGAUGAUGGGUAGGGGUCCUGAGAGGGAGAUCCCCCACACUGGUACUGAGACACGGACCAGACUCCUACGGGAGGCAGCAGUGAGGAAUAUUGGUCAAUGGUCGCAAGACUGAACCAGCCAUGCCGCGUGCAGGAAGACGGUCCUAUGGAUUGUAAACUGCUUUUAUACAGGAAGAAACCCUCCCACGUGUGGGAGCUUGACGGUACUGUAGGAAUAAGGAUCGGCUAACUCCGUG
rnacentral:rRNA from 1 species